rnacentral:lncRNA from 1 species
GUGGCAGCAUUGGUGGAGAUAAGCCUUAUAGGAGAAGUACUAUGAGUCACUACAUAAAUAGUAUUUGGAAUAUCAGAAGAAGAUAAGGAAGACAUCUCAGACAUUUUUUUUUCUUUUUUUUUUUUUUUACUUAAGAGUGAUCUUUAUAAAAAAGGAGGAGGGAGGGAGGAGAAUUGUGAGAAGAGCAAGAGCAGAUCGCUGCUGCUGCUGUUGUGGCUGCUGCUACUGCUACGGCUGCU